UCAGCCACAACCUAAUGCCUUAACUGAGGAUUGUAGAAAAACUUCCCAUAAAAGCAGAAAAUCCCCCACUGCCUUACUUUGGAUCAGUUACUUCACUACAGGUACUCCUUGAUUUAUGAGCAUAACCAGUGGUGGGCUGCUCCUGGUUCGGUCUGGUCUAUAGAACUGGUAGUAAAACCCGCAGGAGGCUCUGCCCACCCGCCACGACACCAUCAUGGGUGAUCUGCGCAUGCACAGAAGCAUGUGCGCACGCAUGGUCCCGUUGCAAGUCUGUACUAAAGAUCAGCCUAACCAGAUAGCUGGCAAGCAGAGCUGAUUUCCUGAAAGGCUACUGAAAGUGAGAGAAAGAACUCAGCAGACUGGAUAAGUGAGAGCAAAGAACACAGAGAUCCAAUAAAUGAUGAGUGUUUAUACCUCCGCCCACUAUUGCUAAGCCCUGUUCUUGAACACAAGAGACAGCAUCAACAGUACAACAACAAGAAAUGGCACACUUGUUAAAAGCUUUGGGAAACUGAUUCCAUCUUGCCCUAACACCAUGUGCUGACGGGUAUACUCUCCAUGAGAGUGGCUGCUUGUUUCAGCUAGCAGCCUCAACUUUGGACUAAUAAGUAUGCAUUAACAAAUAAAGUGCUGCAGAAAUGAAUGGCAAAUGUGAACAGCACAGCAGGAAGCUACACUGCUGGCAGGCUGAAAACGGUUUUGCAGAUGCAAUUGUUGGGAGAUGACCAAGGGUUUUUCGGUCUGAAAUAUGAGCUGUAAAAAGCAGAAGCUUCACAAGGGAUGUGAGCUCGAGGAACAAAAAUACAGCAUAGUUUCUGUGAAUGCUGAGAGUUUUUUCAGGAUAUGCCAGAGGCUGGAUCCCGAAUUCUUCAUUAGAGAUGUGUUAAAGCCAGCGGUUCUCAACCUGUGGGUCGGGACCCCGUUGGGGGUCGAAUGACGAUUUGCCAGGGGUCGCCUAAGACCAUCGGAAAUAAGGGAAGUAUACUUGCGAGUUGAAGAAUCGCGCUCCAAUGGUUGACUCCACAAGCCAGCUGCAGGCUCUUCAAAUCGCUAGCCGAAUUCGGCUUCAGGCGCGAUGAAUUAAAAAAGAGAGAAAUCUUUGCUCUGAUGUCUUCCUCUCAAGCCAGCUGCAAUCACUCCCAAUCGCUAGCCUAAUCUGGCUUCAGGCGCGAUAAACUUAAUAGGGGAGGAGUCUCCGCUUUAAUGCCUCCGUCCUCAAGGCAAUCGCAAGCAGUUCAGAUCGCUAGCCAAUACGGCUUCAGGCGCGAUAAAUUCAAAACAAAAAUAAUUUUAUGGUUGUGGUCGCCACAUUAUGGGGAAUUGUAUUAAAGGGGUCGCCACAUCAUGGGGAAUUGUAUUAAAGGGGUCGCAGCACUAUAAAGAUUGAGAACCACUGUGUUAAACCAUCUCUCCUGCAUGUCCCUUCUACUGGGUCUCAUUCAGCUGAUGGAAGUGUAUUUAUUUCUUGUUGCAGAAAAUUCAGAAGUACUAAGCACCACACAGGGUUUCUUUUUAAAGUUUCUCUCCACCCAGGACCCAGCUUGCUUCUUUAUAGAUAAGACACAGAAAGGAGAAACAAAGUGGUAGCAAGCUGCUGAAAAUAUUUGCAAUUUACACUUGGGGCUGCUGCGUGUUUAGGAGCAAUGUGACAAGCAGAAUUUCAGGGCUGAAGAUUUUUUUACGGAUGGAACUGAAGAGACGAGCAAAGCUACACUUGCUGAAUUUUCCACAAUUACACUGCUGUUACAUGCAAGGAAGGAGCUUUCUCUUUUAAAAAAUAAAAAAUAAAACCUGUCUGGAAAACAGGACCAAAGAACAAAUGAAAAAUGAAUUACUAUGGUGUCCCUGAGAAUUAGGAACUGUUCUGAGGUCUGAGGCUGAAAAUAUUCAGCACAGAUGAAAAAGUUAAUGUUGCAUAUCUCAACACUGGGCCAAGAAUUUUUUUUCUUGUGAUAGCC